CAGCAGCCACGGGAAUACGUAGGGUGCAAGCGUUAAUCGGAAUUACUGGGCGUAAAGCGUGCGCAGGCGGUUAUAUAAGACAGAUGUGAAAUCCCCGGGCUCAACCUGGGAACUGCAUUUGUGACUGUAUAGCUAGAGUACGGCAGAGGGGGAUGGAAUUCCGCGUGUAGCAGUGAAAUGCGUAGAUAUGCGGAGGAACACCGAUGGCGAAGGCAAUCCCCUGGGCCUGUACUGACGCUCAUGCACGAAAGCGCGGGGAGCAAACAGGAUUAGAUACCCGUGUAGUCCCUGUCUCUUAUAU
rnacentral:rRNA from 1 species